CAGCAGCCGCGGUAAAACGUAGGUGGCAAGCGUUGUCCGGGAUUAUUGGGCGUAAAGGGCUCGCAGGCGGUUUCUUAAGUCUGAUGUGAAAGCCCCCGGCUCAACCGGGGAGGGUCAUUGGAAACUGGGAAACUUGAGUGCAGAAGAGGAGAGUGGAAUUCCACGUGUAGCGGUGAAAUGCGUAGAGAUGUGGAGGAACACCAGUGGCGAAGGCGACUCUCUGGUCUGUAACUGACGCUGAAGAGCGAAAGCGUUGGGAGCGAACUGGAUUAGAUACCCCAGUAGUCCCUGUCUCUUAUAC
rnacentral:rRNA from 1 species